rnacentral:rRNA from 1 species
CGAGUUGAUCCUGGCUCAGAUUGAACGCUGGCGGAAUGCUUACACAUGCAAGUCGAACGGUAGAGGGGGCAACCCUUGAGAGUGGCGAACGGGUGAGUAAUAUAUCGGAACGUGCCCAGUCGUGGGGGAUAACGUAGCGAAAGUUGCGCUAAUACCGCAUACGAUCUACGGAUGAAAGCGGGGGAUCGCAAGACCUCGCGCGAUUGGAGCGGCCGAUAUCAGAUUAGGUAGUUGGUGAGGUAAAGGCUCACCAAGCCGACGAUCUGUAGCUGGUCUGAGAGGACGACCAGCCACACUGGGACUGAGACACGGCCCAGACUCCUACGGGAGGCAGCAGUGGGGAAUUUUGGACAAUGGGCGCAAGCCUGAUCCAGCAAUGCCGCGUGCAGGAUGAAGGCCUUCGGGUUGUAAACUGCUUUUGUACGGAACGAAACGGUGAGCUCUAAUACAGUUUGCUAAUGACGGUACCGUAAGAAUAAGCACCGGCUAACUACGUG